rnacentral:rRNA from 1 species
GAUGAACGCUGGCGGCGUGCCUAAUACAUGCAAGUCGAGCGAACAGAUGAGGAGCUUGCUCCUCUGACGUUAGCGGCGGACGGGUGAGUAACACGUGGAUAACCUACCUAUAAGACUGGGAUAACUUCGGGAAACCGGAGCUAAUACCGGAUAAUAUAUUGAACCGCAUGGUUCAAUAGUGAAAGACGGUUUUGCUGUCACUUAUAGAUGGAUCCGCGGCGCAUUAGCUAGUUGGUAAGGUAACGGCCUCCCAAGGCGGCGAUGGGUAGCCGACCUGAGAGGGUGACCAGACGGAUUGGGACUGAGAGACGGCGCAGAGUCCGACGGGAGGCAACAGUGGGGAAUGUUGCACAAUGGGCGCAAGCCUGAUGCAGCAACGCCGCGUGCGGGAUGACGGACUGCGGGUUGUAAACCGAUUUCAGCAGGGACGAAGCUUUUUGUGACGGUACCUGCAGAAGAAGCACCGGCUAACUACGUG